CUGCACUGCAGCACCCAAUAAUAAUGUUAGCAUAAUCUUCAUUUGCUCUAGGCCCUGUUUGGAUUCUGGAUGGUAGCCUAGUAUGUAGACAUCGGGAAGCACGAGUAUGGUGUGCUCGAGCUCUUCCUCGAAAAGAGAUUUCAAGUUGCGUGCAAUGCAUUCAAAGUUCUUCGAUCGUGCUAUGCAUAACGAAACCCCAACUAGAUCGCGAAUGUCUGUUGGAUGAUUUUGUGGUUCCGGGUCUAUUUGUAGCCACACACUGUGUAUAAUGUUACCAUCUAACAAGGACGAAUAACCGCUGUUCCAGCGUUAGCCAUUUUUCAACUUUCACAUAUAAAGCUACAGACUCCAGAGUUGGCAGUUGAAGCUUGGAGAUACGUAGUACACAAUGGAAGCACGUUGGCUGUUUAAUUUUCACUGGAUCGCACAACUCCUCGUUUGAACAAAAAUGUACUCAAUUAGCUUUUAUUCAUUACAACAGCAUGCAAUAAAGAAAUUUGUUUUUAUA